rnacentral:rRNA from 1 species
CGGCGGACGGGUGAGUAACGCGUGGGUAACCUACCCUGUACACACGGAUAACAUACCGAAAGGUAUGCUAAUACGGGAUAAUAUAUUUGAGAGGCAUCUCUUGAAUAUCAAAGGUGAGCCAGUACAGGAUGGACCCGCGUCUGAUUAGCUAGUUGGUAAGGUAACGGCUUACCAAGGCGACGAUCAGUAGCCGACCUGAGAGGGUGAUCGGCCACAUUGGAACUGAGACACGGUCCAAACUCCUACGGGAGGCAGCAGUGGGGAAUAUUGCACAAUGGGCGAAAGCCUGAUGCAGCAACGCCGCGUGAGUGAUGAAGGCCUUCGGGUCGUAAAACUCUGUCCUCAAGGAAGAUAAUGACGGUACUUGAGGAGGAAGCCCCGGCUAACUACGUGCCAGCAGCCGCGGUAAUACGUAGGGGGCUAGCGUUAUCCGGAUUUACUGGGCGUAAAGGGUGCGUAGGCGGUCUUUCAAGUCAGGAGUGAAAGGCUACGGCUCAACCGUAGUAAGCUCUUGAAACUGGGAGACUUGAGUGCAGGAGAGGAGAGUGGAAUUCCUAGUGUAGCGGUGAAAUGCGUAGAUAUUAGGAGGAACACCAGUUGCGAAGGCGGCUCUCUGGACUGUAACUGACGCUGAGGCACGAAAGCGUGGGGAGCAAACAGGAUUAGAUACCCUGGUAGUCCACGCUGUAAACGAUGAGUACUAGGUGUCGGGGGUUACCCCCUUCGGUGCCGCAGCUAACGCAUUAAGUACUCCGCCUGGGAAGUAC